rnacentral:lncRNA from 1 species
CUUGGCUCCUCUGAUGGAAAACUUUCUUUAACUAAAGGAAGACUUAAGUCAGUAUAUCAAAGAGCACAGGGAUGAGAGCCUGGAAACUACUUUCCUCAGAAUCAUCGUUAGAGUUCAUCAAUGGAGGUAUGAAAUUUGGAAGGCAGAAGAAAUGCAGAAACCACCACUGCACCUGUGACAGAAGUAGGUAGGUUUCAGGCCUUGGGGGAUGACAGACAUGAGGUUUUGCCACUGGCUUCCAGAUGUCCUCCUGUAAAUUAUCCACU